rnacentral:misc_RNA from 1 species
UUUCCGUAGGUGAACCUGCGGAAGGAUCAUUAUAAAUGAAAAACGAAUAACUUCAGGGAAGAAGGGAACCUGCACGGUGACCUCCCCUGUCGGGCCACCCAAUACCUUCAAAAUGCCGCCGUCCUAGCGGUGGCAGACGAAAAAAAAACAAGAAAAACACAAUAGAAACAGGCACGGUGGCCCGUUCACCUUCACACAACCCUCCGAGUACCGCUUCCAUGUUGCUUCCCCGCAAAUCCACCUCUUUGGUGAGCGCGGGGGAGGUCCGCAUCAAAUUCACCUGAAUGUCACAGCAGUCAGACAGCCAUUCAUGGAAACAAUAAAACUUUCAACAACGGAUCUCUUGGUUCCC